rnacentral:rRNA from 1 species
GACGAACGCUGGCGGCGUGCUUAACACAUGCAAGUCGAACGGAAAGGCCCUGCUUUUGUGGGGUGCUCGAGUGGCGAAGGGGUGAGUAACACGUGAGUAACCUGCCCUUGACUUUGGGAUAACUUCAGGAAACUGGGGCUCAUACCGGAUAGGAGCUCCUGCUGCAUGGUGUGGGUUGGAAAGUUUCGGCGGUUGGGGAUGGACUCGCGGCUUAUCAGCUUGUUUGUGGGGUAGUGGCUUUCCAAGGCUUUGACGGGUAGCCGGCCUGAGAGCGUGACCGGCCACAUUGGGACUGAGAUACGGCCCAGACUGCUACGGGAGGCAGCAGUCGGGAGCAUUGCACAAUGGGCGGAAGCCUGAUGCAGCAACGCCGCGUGCGGGAUGACGGCCUUCGGGUUGUAAACCGCUUUCGCCUGUGACGAAGCGUGAGUGACGGUAAUGGGUAAAGAAGCACCGGCUAACUACGUG